CAUAUCUGACCAUCACAGAUAUCUGGUCAUUGGUCUUUAGAAAACAAGAUGGAGGGACUCUCUUAUCUGUUCUUACUUUUGGGUGUCUUUUCCAUUCAGGGGAGUUCAGAAAACUUGGAAGAGAAUUUGGCAUUGAAAGGAACGGCUGUACAGUCGAGCACAUUUUACACUUCUGGAGCUGCACAGGCCAUCGACGGCA